GGUCGGAAAGAGGCGGGCGGGGGGCGCGCCCGGGCGCCGGGGCAGCGAGCGGGAUGUAGCGCUGGGAUGCUGCGCUGGGAUCCGGCCCCGGUCGGCUCGGAGGAGCCGGACAGUGUCCAGGGGAGCGUCAGGCGCCUCAUGUCGUCCUCACCCGCAAGGCCGCAGUGUGAGGAAACAGCCCGGAAAACAGGUGUGGGGCAGGACAGGGGACAGCCCGCGUCACGCCGGCCGCAGGGAUCACGCCACAGCCACACAGGUCGGAGGGGACAUCCCACAGCCGCUUGCACUGCCAGAUGGAGAAGGUGCUGCUGAAAUGUGCCCUCUGUACGUGCGAGCUGCCGCAGUAAUUGCGUGUAUUUCUGAAAUAUAACCAUAUAAAAAUAGCGUAUUCUCAUAUUUCAUUGCUCUUCCUCGGAAAUGCUCUAGCAAACAUGAAGAAAUACGCGAAAUGCUUGCAAAGCAAUAGUGGGAAGGUUGUGAGAAGAGUAACCGAGUGUGUAGCAAAUUAAACCAUUUUUUUUUUGUCCCCUGACUGAAAAGCUCGUUCAGGCUGGGAGCUGGAAAGCAGCGUGGGCAGCAAGGCGAGGGAGGGGAUUGUGCCCCUCUGCUGUGCUUGGGGAGAGCACACCUGCAGGGCUGCGUCGGCUCUGCGGCUCCCAUCAUCAGAGGGAACUGCUGGAGCGAGCCCAGAGGAGGGCCGUGAACUUGCUCAGAGGGCUGGAGCGCCUCUCCUGUGAAGACAGGCUGAGAGGAUUGGGAUUUUUCAGCCUGGAGAAGGUCCUGGACCUUCUGGUCCUGGACCUGAAGAAGGACCUAGAUCUUACUUCAGCCAUUCAGUACCUGAAAGGAGCUGCAAGAGAGCUGCAGAGGGAUUUUUUACAAGGGCCUGUAGCAAUAGAACAAGGGGACAUGGCUUUCAACUGAAAGAGGGAAGGUUUAUAUCAGACACUAGGAAGAAAUUCUUUACUUUGGGCGUGGUGAGACACUGGCACAAGUUCCCCAGAGAAGCUGUGGGUUCCCCAUCCCUGGAAUUGUUCAAGGCCAUGUUUGACGGGACUCAGUAACCUGAUCUAGAGGAAGGUGUCCAUGCCUGUGGCAGAGGUGCUGGAGCUAGAACCUCUUCUUCUAUGGUUCUGUAAGUCAGCUGUCCUGGCCAUGCUCCCUCCCAGCUUUUUGUGCACUUCCUCUCUGGCAGAGCAUGAGACACUGAAAAGUCCUUGACUAAGGGUAAGCUUACUACUUAGCAACAACCAAAACAUCAGAGUAUUUUCUCAUGCUGUAUCCAAAACAGAGCAUUGUACCAACUACUUUAAAAAAAAAAAAAUUAACUCUAUGCCAGCCAAAGCCAGGACAUCAUGGCAGAAGAGUUGGAACUAGGUGAUCUUCAAAGUCAUUUUCAACCCAAACCAUUCCAUGAUUCUGUGAUUUUCUGAUCAGCACUCAAACACAUGAUCAAGCCAAAGAGUUUAGGGGCCAUUAAUAAAUAAGUACUUCAAGCUAGCUAGCAUGAAUAUUAAUAUUGAUGAUAAAGCCUGGUGCUCAAGGGAACAUAGUUUAAAAAAAAAAAAAAAAAGAAAGAGAGUGAUCUGGUUAGGAAAAAAAUAUUUUAAGAAGUUGUGUAUUUGCUUAGUAGUCCAUGAUGAGAUUUGUGUCCUGUCAAACCCCAGCCUGAGAGACAAAGGAUUUUAGAGUUUGAGUUGUCCCAACCCCUUCGGAACUGAAUCUGAACAGCCUGAUAAAUGUUUUAGUUUAAUUCCUCCAUGAUACCAUUUUAUUUAUGGAUGUGUGUGGACAAACUUGGAUUUAUUUCUGCUGAUGAAGACUAGACCUGGAUUUCAUGUCCCUCAUGCAGAGCAGAGGUGCAGUUAUAGCAGAAUAUAGAAAUGGUUGCAUUAUUCCUACAUACCAUUUAUAGCUGACCGCAUCUUUGUGCUUUAUGCAUGAGCCGAAGCUCAUACACUCCCAGGAUCUGCAUUCCUUCAGUACAUCUCAGGAAACUACAAAAAUGCAGUCUGCUUGACUCUGAAAUAAUUAAUCCUCAAAAAUUUAGUAAUCAUGUAACAUUUUGGCUUCUGGAGAGCUUCGGUCAAGGCUAGAAUUUUAAAAGAUUUAAUGCCACAUCAGAUUCAAGGUGCUCAACAUUCAGGUGGCCAGCACCCAAAAAGUGAUGGGCUGAUGGCACAGGCAGCAGCUUUAUAUCUCAGUACAACAGUGCUGGCAAAAGAAGGGCUGGUUCAAGUUUGUGGAAUGAAUUCCUGUGGGAGCAACUAAUUAAUGCUGUCCCACAUAGAAUGAAAAAGACAGGAUAAAAGGGCUGCAUGUGACACGAUGGUCACACUUCUUAGUUAUACCAGAAGUGUUUUUUACACUGCUGUGAAAGGUGUAUCUUCAGUUUCUGGGCAGAAUAUCCCAUUCUCUAAUUCUCAAAUUAGUCUCUAAUUUGGGGAAGAAUAUUUUCGUUGGUUGGAUUUUAUUUUAGACAAAUGGUUACCACUCAGCAUAACACAAAUAACAAAAAGCAUAUUGUGGUAAAAGCUGUUCCUUCCACCCUUGAGGAACACUUCAUAAACUGUCUUGAAGAUGGUGGUCUGAAGAUUUGUAAAGUCAAGAACAGCUGAGAGUUAAGUCAAGAAGGUAUUUGAGGUAAAUUGAGGCUUUUAAAAGCUUUGAGAACUCAUGAGUGGUUGUACUGUAAGCACAGAAGGAAGAUGGCAGAACCAUAUCCAUUUAAAACAGCGUUUUUAGUGGUGUAAGGCUAGAACAUGAGUAACUGGCUGUGAGCUGGGGGCUGCCACUUCAGGUAAUGUGAACAGGUAGGUACAUUGCACUAAAAAAUUACUCUUUUCACAGUUUCUUUUUGUAUAGGGUUAGUGUGCCAAGGUUUUGGCACAGGAAGCCCACAGGGGUGGCUUCUGCGAGAGGCUGCCAGAAGCUUCCCACACGUCCAAGGGAACCAAUGCCAUAAUCCUGUUUACAGAAGUAACUGUGUGACUGCAGCUAGAAAAAAACAGGAGUCUGGCAGCAGUGUUUGCAGAAAAAAUAUUUCCUGUAGCUUGGAAUGAGUAAACAGUAAUACUUGGAGGAGUGCUUUAAAUCAGUCGUCGUGAAAAUUAGUCUUAAGCCAGUGAACAGAAAAGUUUGGUUUAAAAUUAUUUUUUUAUAGUAUAUUACAGUUGUGUCUUAAAGACUGAUUUUUCACUGUUUGGUAACCAUUAAAAUGUACUGAUUAUGGUCUUCAUGCAUAGUUUACCAUUUAUUUUUGAUAGCAAAGAGGAUAUGGUAUAAUUACAUACAUCUGAGACAUUUCAGACUUAAACAUAACAUCUUAAUUUGUACAUACAUUUCACUAUUUGGGAAAAUGAGGACUGUUGAAUUAAUUUUUAUUCUUCCCCCACCCAGGUAGUUAUUACACUUUUACAUGUGCCUCAGUAUAUGAUACAGUUCUUACCAAACUCCUAGUAGUGGAUAAAUACGGGAAUUGAAAGAAAAUAAUGAGGAAAAAAAAAAAAGCCUCUUUAUAGUUGCUUUUAGUUGAAUAGGAUUACAGCAAAUGUAUUUGGUCCUUCUUCUUAAGGAGAUUGUCUAAAUAUGUUUUGCAUUGAAAAAGAUUUUAUUUAAAAAAUUGAAGUAUACUUGCAGGAAGAGAACGUGAUUGGUUCAUCAGUUGUUCUAGUGUGUAGAACUAGUAGAGAUCAUCCUGUAAUCUCCACCUCUUUUUUAUUUAUGGAUGGAAAUAAUGAAAAAAAACCAAAACAAAACAGCAGAGGUAAUCCAUUUAAGCAAGCUGGUUGAAUGAACAGAAAUGAAGGGAAUACUGCCACCUUGCUUGCAGAAAAAGAUGCUUGUCAGAAAGUGGUUCAACGCUUCAGCAAAUCAAGAUUGAUCCUUCAGCAGCUUGAACAGAACAUCCAUACUGCCUAAUAAUGCUACUUCUGUAGUAUUAGUAUUAUUACUUUGUUUUGCUAAGCAAACACGUUUAAAAUUAAAUUUCAAAUCAAUCAACUUGAUUGAUUAUAUUUUUAUUAUUUUAUUUUAGAAACCCAGAGAAGCUACCAGGGAAGAACCAUUUUUUUGCCUUACAUUUAAACCAGGCACAAAAUCAGAAUCUUCCAGAAACCAGGUACCUCUCUUCAUGUGGAAGGAGGCUGUGUGUGAUUGGGGGAGCCUGUCUUUUUACAAGGCAAGAAAAAAAAUAUCAUUAAAAUAUAUAAUAUUUGA